CUGGAAUUCCCUCUCCUCUAGCCCAUGAAGGUUCAGGAAGCCCAUUGGAUGACGUGCCCAAAACCAUGCAUUCAACCCCAUUGCCUCCC